rnacentral:rRNA from 1 species
UACGAAGGGAGCUAGCGUUGUUCGGAAUCAUUGGGCGUAAAGCGCGCGUAGGCGGCCCCGUAAGUCCGCUGUGAAAGUCAAAGGCUCAACCUUUGAAAGCCGGUGGAUACUGUGGGGCUAGAGUCCGGAAGAGGCGAGUGGAAUUCCUGGUGUAGCGGUGAAAUGCGCAGAUAUCAGGAAGAACACCCGUGGCGAAAGCGGCUCUCUGGAACGGUACUGACGCUGAGACGCGAAAGCGUGGGGAGCGAACAGG